rnacentral:lncRNA from 1 species
CUAGAUAUAAGAGAUAAACCUAUUAUCACCAUGCUUGAGAUAAUUAGAACCAAGUUAAUGAAGAUACUUUUUGCAAAGAGAGAAACAAUGCAGAGUUUUUAAGGAUCAAUUUGUCCUAAAAUCCAUAAAAAAAAAAAACUUGAUGAAACGAAGGAGUGUAGUUGUUUGUUUCAAGCACGCUUUUCUAGGGGUUUACAUAUUCAAGUGCUUGGUGGUGGA